GAAAUUUUUAAGGCAUAAUAUAUAAAUAAACAUAUCAUUUAACUUAAUUUUAUUUUAUAUUUAUGUCUUUCAACUUUAAAUAUGCGGUGUAUAAAGUUAAACAAAUAGACGAACAUGGGUUCUGCUUCAUCCAAAAAAUUUAGGCCCCAUAUGAUCAUAGCCAACAGGCAUCAGCACAUGACUUUGUUUGACAAGCUUAUUAGCUCAACUUGUAUACAUAAGCCCUCUUUCAUGAGCCUUUUCAUCAUCAAGCACAAGCAUUAAGUUCAGCCAUCAAAAGUUUCGUG
rnacentral:misc_RNA from 1 species